rnacentral:rRNA from 1 species
AACGAACGCUGGCGGCAGGCUUAACACAUGCAAGUCGAACGGACGUAGCAAUACGUUAGUGGCAGACGGGUGAGUAACGCGUGGGAAUAUGCCCUUUAGUUCGGAAUAACACAGAGAACUUUGUGCUAAUACCGGAUAAUCCCGAGCGGGGAAAGAUUUAUCGCUGAAGGAGUAGCCCGCGUCUGAUUAGCUAGUUGGUGAGGUAAUGGCUCACCAAGGCGACGAUCAGUAGCUGGUCUGAGAGGAUGAUCAGCCACACUGGGACUGAGACACGGCCCAGACUCCUACGGGAGGCAGCAGUGGGGAAUAUUGGACAAUGGGGGCAACCCUGAUCCAGCCAUGCCGCGUGAGUGAUGAAGGCCUUAGGGUUGUAAAACUCUUUUGUCCGGGAAGAUAAUGACUGUACCGGAAGAAUAAGCCCCGGCUAACUUCGUGCCAGCAGCCGCCGUAA